rnacentral:rRNA from 1 species
CGAAGGGUGCAAGCGUUACUCGGAAUUACUGGGCGUAAAGCGUGCGUAGGUGGUUUGUUAAGUCUGAUGUGAAAGCCCUGGGCGUCAACCUGGGAAGUUGCAUUGGAUACUGGCAGGCUAGAGUGCGGUAGAGGGUAGUGGAAUUCCCGUGUAGCAGUGAAAUGCGUAGAGAUCGGGAGGAACAUCUGUGGCGAAGGCGACUACCUGGACCAGCACUGACACUGAGGCACGAAAGCGUGGGGAGGCAAACAGGAUU